GUGGGGAAUAUUGGGCAAUGGGCGAAAGCCUGACCCAGCAACGCCGCGUGAAGGAAGAAGGUCUUCGGAUCGUAAACUUCUAUCCUUGGUGAAGAUAAUGACGGUAGCCGAGAAGGAAGCCCCGGCUAACUACGUGCCAGCAGCCGCGGUAAUACGUAGGGGGCAAGCGUUGUCCGGAAUGAUUGGGCGUAAAGGGCGCGUAGGCGGCCUGGUAAGUCUGGAUUGAAAGUCCUGCUUUUAAGGUGGGAAUUGCUUUGGAUACUGUCGGGCUUGAGUGCAGGAGAGUUAAGUGGAAUUCCCGGUGUAGCGGUGAAAUGCGUAGAGAUCGGGAGGAACACCAGUGGCGAAGGCGACUUACUGGACUGUAACUGACGCUGAGGCGCGAAAGUGUGGGGAGCAAACAGGAUUAGAUACCCUAGUAGUCC
rnacentral:rRNA from 1 species